rnacentral:rRNA from 1 species
AGUGAACGCUGGCGGCAGGCCUAAUACAUGCAAGUCGAACGGCAGCACAGCAGAGCUUGCUCUGUGGGUGGCGAGUGGCGGACGGGUGAGGAAUACGUGGGAAUCUGCCCAGUCGUGGGGGAUAACGUAGGGAAACUUACGCUAAUACCGCACGCGCCCUUCGGGGGAAAGCCGGGGACCUUCGGGCCUGGCGCGAUUGGAUGAGCCCACGUCGGAUUAGCUAGUUGGCGGGGUAAAGGCCCACCAAGGCGACGAUCCGUAGCUGGUCUGGUAGGAUGAUCAGCCACACUGGAACUGAGACACGGUCCAGACUCCUACGGGAGGCAGCAGUAGGGAAGAUUGGACAAUGGGUGAAAGCCUUAUUCAGCCAUGCCGCGUGAGUGAAGAAGGCCCUCGGGUUGUAAAGCUCUUUUGUCCGGAAAGAAAAGCGCCGGGUUAAUACCCUGGUGUCCUGACGGUACCGGAAGAAUAAGCACCGGCUAACUUCGUGCCAGCCGCCGCCGUAACAC